GGGAGAGAGUGACUAGUGACAGAGGGAGGGAGAUGGUGACUGUCACUAGUCACCCCAUCCCUCCCUCUGUCACUAGUCACUCCCUCCCU